UCCAGAUACAGUUCAAGUUGACAACCAGGAAUAGCUACUACACCUGGUUGAUGAGGAACUGGCUUAGUAGACCAAGCUGGUCUCAGACUUACAGAGGUCUGUCUGCCUCUGCCCACCGAGUGCUUAAAUGCAUAUGCCAUCACACUUAGUGUUUUUCGUUUCUUUCUUGAGAUAGGCUCUUUCACUGAACUUGUUGCUGUCUGUUUCAGCUGUAUUAUGCAACCAUCAAGCCACAGAAAGACCCCCAGAGGGGGGAGACCCUCACUCAAGUCUCGGGAUGACGCAACCCCCCAAGAACACACCUCUUGUGCUGAAUCAGAUGAUCUCUUCUACAACACAAACAAGUUGGAGCUCAAGAGGAGGCUCAGCAGCUAAGAGGACCUGCUGCUAACGCAGAGGACUGGAUGAAUUUCCCAGCAUCUACAUGGCAGUCUGUAACAGUCUGAUACGCCAGUUCCAGAGGAUUCCAUGCUCUUCUGGCCUCUAUGGGUACUGCAUCCACAUGGUGCACAUCCAUCCAUGCAAGCAAAACAUUCAUACACUUUCUCAUUGUGAACUGGGUCGGCCCCAGCCAUGGACUGAAUGGGUGACUGCUUCACAAGUGCACUUGGGGAGGACAUGGUGACGACUGCCACAGAGACUCUGCAAAAUGGACUGAAUUCCAACAAUGAAGAGCAAGGAACAGAACAGUGCUUCCUACUGAGCUUUGCCUGACACUGAUACUGACAGAAACAACUUUCCUCAAAGUUAAUUCUUAAUUAACAUAACACAAAGGACCAGAGAGAUUGCUCUCUGAUUAAGAGAUUAUACUGCUGUUGAAGAGGACCCCAGUUUUGUUUCCAGUACCCACAUUAGGUAUUUUGCAAUGCCUAAUGAACAGACAUGAAUAUACCCAUAUAUGCACACACAGACAUAUAAUUACAAAUAAAAUAAACCUUAAAAAAAUAACACAAGUCACACAGGAAAAUAUUUUUGUUCAAAAAUUUCAAACCACAAAAAAAAAAAAAAAAGAAAAAAAGUAAACAGAAACGAAAGUCUCA